rnacentral:ribozyme from 12 species
AACAAAGAGAUCAUGCAAAAAAUAUUAAAUGGGAAAACCAGACAGAGGGGAUAUUAUUAACUUUGAAGACUAUAAUAUUUUUUCUUUUCUUCUCUCCUUCUUUCCUCUCCU